GGAUAUAGCUCAGUUGGUAGAGUCCCGGAUUGUGAUUCCGGUUGUCGUGGGUUCGAGCCCCAUUAUC
rnacentral:tRNA from 1 species